AGAUUGAACGCUGGCGGCAGGCCUAACACAUGCAAGUCGAGCGGCAGCACGGGUACUUGUACCUGGUGGCGAGCGGCGGACGGGUGAGUAAUGCCUAGGAAUCUGCCUGAUAGUGGGGGAUAACGUUCGGAAACGGACGCUAAUACCGCAUACGUCCUACGGGAGAAAGUGGGGGAUCUUCGGACCUCACGCUAUCAGAUGAGCCUAGGUCGGAUUAGCUAGUUGGUAGGGUAAAGGCCUACCAAGGCUACGAUCCGUAACUGGUCUGAGAGGAUGAUCAGUCACACUGGAACUGAGACACGGUCCAGACUCCGUACGGGAGGCAGCAGUGGGGAAUAUUGGACAAUGGGACGAAAGCCUGACUCCAGCCAUGCCGCGUGUGUGAAGAAGGUCGUUCGGAGUUUAGUAAAGCUAACGUUUUAAGGUUGGGAAGGAAGGCUAAGUUAAACCUAAGUUACGUUAGUUGUUUUAGAACGUUACGAACUAGAAUAACGAC
rnacentral:rRNA from 1 species